rnacentral:rRNA from 1 species
GAUGAACGCUAGCUACAGGCUUAACACAUGCAAGUCGAGGGGCAGCAUUUCAGUUUGCUUGCAAACUGGAGAUGGCGACCGGCGCACGGGUGAGUAACACGUAUCCAACCUGCCGAUAACUCGGGGAUAGCCUUUCGAAAGAAAGAUUAAUACCCGAUGGCAUAAUUAGACCGCAUGGUCUUAUUAUUAAAGAAUUUCGGUUAUCGAUGGGGAUGCGUUCCAUUAGGCAGUUGGUGAGGUAACGGCUCACCAAACCUUCGAUGGAUAGGGGUUCUGAGAGGAAGGUCCCCCACAUUGGAACUGAGACACGGUCCAAACUCCUACGGGAGGCAGCAGUGAGGAAUAUUGGUCAAUGGGCGCAGGCCUGAACCAGCCAAGUAGCGUGAAGGAUGACUGCCCUAUGGGUUGUAAACUUCUUUUAUAUGGGAAUAAAGUUUUCCACGUGUGGAAUUUUGUAUGUACCAUAUGAAUAAGGAUCGGCUAACUCCGUGCCAGCAGCCGCGGUAAUACGGAGGAUCCGAGCGUUAUCCGGAUUUAUUGGGUUUAAAGGGAGCGUAGGUGGACAGUUAAGUCAGUUGUGAAAGUUUGCGGCUCAACCGUAAAAUUGCAGUUGAUACUGGCUGUCUUGAGUACAGUAGAGGUGGGCGGAAUUCGUGGUGUAGCGGUGAAAUGCUUAGAAAUCACGAAGAACUCCGAUUGCGAAGGCAGCUCACUGGACUGCAACUGACACUGAUGCUCGAAAGUGUGGGUAUCAAACAGGAUUAGAUACCCUGGUAGUCCACACAGUAAACGAUGAAUACUCGCUGUUUGCGAUAUACAGUAAGCGGCCAAGCGAAAGCAUUAAGUAUUCCACCUGGGGAGUACGCCGGCAACGGUGAAACUCAAAGGAAUUGACGGGGGCCCGCACAAGCGGAGGAACAUGUGGUUUAAUUCGAUGAUACGCGAGGAACCUUACCCGGGCUUAAAUUGCAUUUGAAUAUAUUGGAAACAGUAUAGCCGUAAGGCAAAUGUGAAGGUGCUGCAUGGUUGUCGUCAGCUCGUGCCGUGAGGUGUCGGCUUAAGUGCCAUAACGAGCGCAACCCUUAUCUUUAGUUACUAACAGGUCAUGCUGAGGACUCUAGAGAGACUGCCGUCGUAAGAUGUGAGGAAGGUGGGGAUGACGUCAAAUCAGCACGGCCCUUACGUCCGGGGCUACACACGUGUUACAAUGGGGGGUACAGAAGGCAGCUACCUGGUGACAGGAUGCUAAUCCCAAAAGCCUCUCUCAGUUCGGAUCGAAGUCUGCAACCCGACUUCGUGAAGCUGGAUUCGCUAGUAAUCGCGCAUCAGCCAUGGCGCGGUGAAUACGUUCCCGGGCCU